rnacentral:rRNA from 1 species
UACGUAGGGGGCAAGCGUUGUCCGGAAUCAUUGGGCGUAAAGCGCGUGUAGGCGGUUCGGUAAGUCUGCUGUGAAAGUCCAGGGCUCAACCCUGGGAUGCCGGUGGAUACUGUCGGGCUAGAGUGCGGAAGAGGCGAGUGGAAUUCCUGGUGUAGCGGUGAAAUGCGCAGAUAUCAGGAAGAACACCCGUGGCGAAGGCGGCUCUCUGGGACGGUACUGACGCUGAGACGCGAAAGCGUGGGGAGCGAACAGG